UGAUGAUAGUUUACUCCAUGAAUACACAUUGGAAGAAGUUAUAAGCGUUGUCAAAGAUUUUGUAGACUCCGAAAGUUUAGCACACGAUGGUACUGUACAAGAUUGCGUGAGAAGGGCAACAUCCAUUUUCGGGUCACUUGAAAGUUUUAUACGUUAUGAAGAAUUAGAAGAUAUAAUUGGAGGGAUAAAGCACGAAUUUAAAGUUACCAAACACUUCCCUACUUAUCAAGAACAUAAAUCGGCGUUAUCAAACCGCGCACACUAUACUGUGGAUCAAGUUGAAAACAUAGUUAUUGAAAAACUAUUUUCGAUUUAAGGGUUGGACUAUAUUUUUAACUGUUUUUAAAUUAGUGCAUGUCACAUACGAUUAAUUUAGUUUUGUUUGAUUAUCUAAUUAUUUUGAUCUUGUAUUUCGUUAGUGCACUGUUUAAUAUAUGUAUAAGUAC